GUGUGCGCGCGCACACGCAGAGCCCUUCUCUCUCCAGCCCCUAGCCUUUUCCCCUAGUUACCAGAUGUUUUAAUUUAAUUCGUUUUGCAAAAUACAUAUUUUAAUGAGUCUGAAUUUAAAAAACUAUUUGCACCUGCAUCAUAUAGAAUUUCUUGGCAGUCCCACCAUGGCUUUUGCCAGGAUUCAUGCUUCUUCUAUCGCUUAAACCUGCCACUUAGAAGGCUUUCCUCUUGUGCCUCCCAUUAUCUUCUAAAUCAAGGCUGCUCAAGAAACACUCGCUAAUGGAACUCAGAGCCUCGAGCUGGCCAGGGGAGGGGGGGAGAGGGAUCUGACAGCUCGAGACGCUGACAACAAGGUGGUGUGAAAAGUGCGGGGUGUCUUCAGAUGCCAGCCAUUGUUUUGGGAUCUGGGGGAGAAACGGCUGUCCCUGAAGAGUUCCGAGUUUUAUCAUCUAGAAGGAGAGAGGGAGAGCCAGAAGGGAAGGCAGACUUUACAGGGAUCUUAAAGCUUCAUGCAAUCCAGUCUGUCAGGAAGUUAUAAAUACUCAUGUGGGUUUUUUAAGCAACUUGAUUUUUUUUCUUUCUUUUUUUUUUUUUUUUUUUUUCAGUUGGAACAGAGCUGGAUGGGCACCAAGGGACAUUCGCCCUGGGUCCGUUGUCUCAUUUCUUCUCCGCGUGCAUUCCAAAGUGAGGGAGAGCAGAGCGCAUGGGUCUGUGUUGCUGCAGCAUGUGUGAAGAGGAGAGGGAGAAUUCUGUCCAGCCUUUCCUCGGCACUUCCAAAUAAACUGUUGGGCUCCUUGCAGUCUAAUUCACUUCUCCUGGCAUUCCGUGUUCAUGUUACAAGCUCCUCUGAAAGAAGAUGUGGUGAUGUGCUGUGAUCUGCUGAACGGCCUGAGAGCAUCGCGGUGUGGUGUCCAGCAGCUGCUGCUUGUCACCCACGUGGCAGCUGGACUUCACUGGAGCACAGAGGUUCCCCUAAGCACUGGUUCUGAAGCACUUUGCGACGCCUUUAGGGAUAAAAAAGAUUGAUGGUAUUUUAAUGGAAAAUCUCAGAGCUGAGAUUUUUUUUUUCAAAGUGAAAAAUUUCACUUUAGGUGAAUCUGUUCCAGGCAGUCCGGUUUGACAUAUCUUAAAGGGAAUCGGUUAUCAGUAAGGCAGGUGUUCUUCAGUGUGUUUCGGCCUGGGUCCCUGACAAUCAUUACUCAUGACUGGAAAUCUUGUUCCUGUGCUUUAAAUUUUCCUUUUUUUUUUCAUUUUUUUUACCCUCUCAGUUUUUGAAGCUAAGCAGCCAAAUGUUGGGAAUUACUAGUCUCUUGGAGACUCGGAAGAUUUUCAAAUGGUUUUCAUGUUUUUUGGAACAGCUUAAAUUUGGCUGAUCUCUUUUAGUAGGAAUUCCAGGAUUUAUUUUAUUUUUUUUUUCUUUUUACAGUUAUGAAAAACAGGUUUGCUGCCUUGGGGGAAGGGAGCAGGAUGAGGAAGGCAAGGCAGGGAAGAAAAGAUGAAUUUAUUCUGACUUUAUCUUUAUUUCAGUCUCCCAAGUUAAAUUCUACACUGUUUCACUGAGGCCAGCUGGUUUUAAUCAUUUCAAGAGAACACUAUUUAUUAAGUGUCUGUUUCAGGCAGUGUCAAAUCCUUCAGCUCCUUCUCUAUUCUCCAUUGUAAGCAAGAACAUCAGUAGCCCAGGUGGGCUUUGAAUAGCUUCAGAAAGUAGGUAGGUGAGAAUCUAUUUAUUACUUACUGUAGAUCUCAGUAGACAGAGACUCCAAUUAAGGCAGGAAACUGACAUACUUAGCCAACUCUUUCCAAACAGAGGAUGCAAAAUGAGUGAAUAAAAAUUAAAUAAGGCGAUCUAAACUUUUCUGCAUUUCCUUAUGCAGUCUGGAACCAUAAUUCCUUUGUGAUUUUCUUUUCAUUCACUUAAAAAUGCAAAAAAUGUUGAGGAAGCAUAUUAUGUUAAGCUUCACCAAAGCACAGGUGAUAUAUUAAAUAGUGUAGAAGUCCAUGAUCCAGUAGAUAACCUUCAAAUUCAUUUAGUAUAAGACUUGUCGCCUUCUUGUGCUACUGAAACUGCUACAGUCAACACCAUUAUGCUUUAAGAUCAAAAGCAGAUUUACAGCAUCUCAAUUUUAGAACCCUGAGUAGUAUUUUGUAUUCUAAUUUGUCAAUAUCUGCAUUCAAAUCCAUUUUGCUCUGUACACAGAAGAAGCGUAAGAUGUUGAAAGAUCAUAUAUUGUAGUAACAAAUGUGCAGAUUGUGUAUGUAUUGAACAGCCCGAGGAAAGUUUAAAAAAGAAAAAAAGGUAGGUAAAUUACUGGUCAAUUUUACACAACUCUAAUGACAUGUAAUCUACAGUAGAAUCUACUGUGCCUCUCAUAACUCCUGCUUUCAUUCUGAAGUAGUAGCUAGAAGUAUCAGCCCAAGGUAGUUACUGGAAUCUCGUUUAAAAUAAUUUGGUUGGUAGAAGUAAGUUUCUGUUGAAAUAUCUUAUUGUUUAUGUAACAGCAGAUAUAAUUGGAAUUUCAACAAUUAGCAUAUCUGUUUUCAUGCCAAGACUGGUUAAAUACAGGAGAAUUUUUUUUUUUUUUUUUUUUUGUACUUAUCUGUUGAAACUUAGAUAUUUCUGUAACAUUUCAACCCCUAUUAAAUUGCUUUGAAAACAACACCAAAAAAAGGGGAGGAAAAAAGAGGAAAAAGACCCACCCAUCAUCAAAAUUUUAAACUCUGGGUGCUUUCCAGUGAACUGUUCUUGAAUGAAAACACUACUCUGUCUUCAGUUAAACAUUGGCUCUAACGUAGACAAAUUAACACGUUCAGUUACACUGCAAAAAUCUUUAACUGUAGGAGAGGGGGAAAAAAAACAACAAAGAAAAGAAUGAUCAUAAUCAUUAGCAUUUAUAUAGCAGCUCAGUAGGAAUAUGUGAUUGUUAAAGCACAAAAUGCAGCAGCUGGUACUUGAGGAGGAAGCAAAACUGUAAAGGUACUUCUUGAUUAUUUUUUUUUUUUUCUGGAAAACUUGCAGAACUCUCAGUUACUUUCAUGAAGCUCUAAUUUUGGCCAGACUACGGUGCGAUACAAGAUGGUGUGUAUUCCUUCCCCUUGCAUCCCUUCAG